UACGAAGGGGGCUAGCGUUGCUCGGAAUCACUGGGCGUAAAGCGCACGUAGGCGGUUUGCUAAGUCAGGGGUGAAAUCCUGGAGCUCAACUCCAGAACUGCCUUUGAUACUGGCGAUCUCGAGUCCGGGAGAGGUGAGUGGAACUGCGAGUGUAGAGGUGAAAUUCGUAGAUAUUCGCAAGAACACCAGUGGCGAAGGCGGCUCACUGGCCCGGUACUGACGCUGAGGUGCGAAAGCGUGGGGAGCGAACAGG
rnacentral:rRNA from 1 species